ACCUGCCAAUGCAAAAACAACUUAAUAUGAUGGCAGUAAUGAUGCACAGGAACAGAAAGUAAGUGCACUGGAAUUUAUUUUGCAGUGCAGGUAAUCUGAAAGUUAAGCAUCUCUUAUCUGAAAGGGGUCCCAGUUUGGGGAGUUUCACAAAAAGUCUCCAAUUGAAAGAUGGAUUUAUACCACUCAAGAACACUCUGAGGUACAGUCAUACCUUGGUUGAUGAACGCCUUCUGAGUUGAACGUUUUGGUCCCCGAAUGCCCCAAACCCAGAAGUGAGUGUUUGCAAACGUUCUUUGGAACCAAAAUGUCCCAUGUGGCUUCUGAUUGGCUACAGGAGCUUCCUGCAGCCAAUCAGAAGCCGCGUCUUGGUUUCCGAACAUUCUGGAAGUCGAACGGACUUCCGGAAUGGAUUCCGGUAGACUUUCAAGGUCUGACUGUACUGAGAAUUUCCAAAGAGCAGAAUUCCCAAUCAUGACAUGGGGACUGCACAUACUUUUUUUAAAAAUCACCGCCUUUAUUUAAAAGAAAACAAAAACAAAAUAAAGCCAAGAAAUUAUGGAAGUUUCUAGUGCAAAUAGUAAUUGUUAAAAUACUUUCAUCACAUGAACAUAAGUAGACUAUUACACAAUAGCUUGUAAAUAUUACUUCUUCUAUACAGGAAAUCCUUCAGAUUUAUUCCUACUCCAAGUACACGCUUCCACAGUAGGAAACAGACGCCCACGGGAUCUGCUUAUCCAGAGACCCAAGUGUGAAGACUGACCAAAGAGGGAACAUAUUCCGUGACAGUCUGAUACUGGCAUCUCCAACCCCACUACAUGCUUAUUGGAGAUGAACUCUCCGAAUAGAAACUGAACAAAUGAAUUUUUCAUCCAGGUGAAGUUUUUGGUGGCUGCAAACCGAACAAACUAAACCAGAAGUGUGCAGAUCUUUGGGCAAGGAUUGGCAAGGAUUUCCGACUUCCAAUUGUUUAACAAUAACAGCAGCAAAAUGACCCCCAUUCCGUGGCAUAAAUUAUACUAUGAAAAUGAACGAAGACGGGGGUAACUGAGAGUGGUUGUGGCCAUUGUCAAACAACUGUGAGCGCCGAUCAAAACCGGAGUUUCGGACAGUGAGAGGGAGAGAUACCUGAGGGGUGAGCUCUCUUGCGGACUUCACACUGGCUUGUAUGCCUUCGACAGUACUUUUGUUGGCUGUUCCAACCGCAGCGGCCUUUUCCGCAGUAGCUCCAAGCCUGGCAGCAUGGUUUUCAAAAUUGGCUGCCCUGUCAUCAAACACCUGAAAGUUGAAAUACAUCAACAACCACAGAUUUAAAAAUGCAGCCAGUUCAGGAUUUUAUACGGGUCCCCAAGCAACUCACGCUAACCCGCUCAAUUACAGACUCGGUGCUUCAAUUAAAGUUAGUUUAAUCAAGGAUGAAUUUACAGUUCUUUGGCAAUUUAUUAGAAAACUAAAACUGUUCAGCAGAGAUACCGCGACAGAACUCUAUUUGGCAAUUCUAAGCCCUGGUUUAGACACACAAGGCUAUGGUGAUAAUGGCGUGAAUGUGCCAUGAUAGAUAUGAGUGCCAAAGACAGAGCUUUCCUCAGGUCACCUGAAAAGUGCGAUUCUUUUCAAGGAAGAUGGUUCAAACAGUCAGUUGUCACCAACCUGGUGCCCCCAGACUCUGAGCUUCCAUUUAAAAAAUAAAAGUAAGCUCUUCUAGAAAGAAAGACAUGUGACAAAAUGCAAAGGUACCCUUCCAUGUGAUUUCUGUGGAAUGUGAGCGGCCUGGCUGCCUUGUAUAUUUUGCCUGCUCCUGAGGAAUGCUCCCUCAGCAACAACAUCUGGGUGUGAUCUCCAUUGCCAGGACCAGCAGGACACAACUGACUUCCCGUGAUAAGCAUAAUGUUGUUGGGGUGGUUGUCUCUCUCAUUUUGUUAAGUCACACAACCCAAGGCAGCCAUUUUGUGACAGGCACCCGCAGAACACUCUCAAGACUCAGAAUGUACCCCUACUCCAAAACAUUUGGCUACACCUGGAUUAAGAUAUAGUAAUGUUUCAAACUAUGGACACCAAUUGCAUUCUUUCUCCUCAAGGGUGGUAGGUAGGAAACCAUUUAAGUAUGAAACUUUUUAAAAGUCUAACAUCUGACCAGCGGCAUAGCUAGCCACUCGGGCACCUGGAGCAGCAACCUGCUCUGUACAGUGUGUGCGCAACGUCACUGCACAUGUGCUGUACGGAGCGGGUUGCCGGCAGCAGCGCUCGAGCCCCGUGAUCCUCUGCUCACGGCUGAGGAUCCCGGCGCUGGAGCACCACCGGCAGCAAACCAUGAGCAAGCCGCGGAGUGAAGUUUUUUUAAAAGCUUUGCUCUGCAGCUGGCAUGCUCAAGCGGAGGCGAGGGAGGGGCGUCAGCAGCCCCUGAGCAGGAAGAAGCAAAGCACGCCGGCCGAGUAAGUGAGCGAGCAGCCAGCCACCAAGCGAGGCUUUUUACCAGGCGGCGGCUGGCUGCUCGCUUACGGGGGGUGCACCAAGUGUCACCCCCCUCCAGGGUGGCACCCGGGGCGGCCCGCCCCCUAUGCACCCCCUUGCUACACCACUGCAUCUGACUCUUACCUUGGCCUAUCCAAAAUUAUAUUUGCUCACUGUAACUUUAAGACUGGUGCAUGCUGGGAACGGACUCACCUCGUCCCUGUUGGGGGCGUCUGGAGGAGCAGUAGCCGCGACUGCCAGCAGUUUAAUUGGCGUCGUCGUGUCGCUGAACACAUCAGAUACUUCCUGGGUCAUGGCUUCUUGCAUCCUUGAUUUAAGAUCCUUAAUAGGAAUAAUAAUAAUAAUAAUAAUAAUAAUAAUAAUAAUAAUAAUAAUAAUUUACUUAUACCCCGCCCUCCCCAGCCAAAGCCGGGCUCAGGGCAGCUAACACUAGAUGUGAAACAACUGAUUAAAAUAUAACUUAAGAACAAGAUUAAAUACAUUAAAAUUAAAAUGCAGCCUCAUACGGAAGGAAAAGGGGGAAAUGGGGGAGGGGAUCAGGUUGGCUCCAGGCCAAAGGCCAGGCGGAACAACUCUGUCUUACAGGCCCUGCGGAAAGAAAUCCAGUCCCACAGGGCCCUGGUCUCAGGAGAUAGAGCAGGGGUAGGCAACCUAAGGCCUGGGGGCUGGAUCCGGUCCAAUCACCUUCUCAAUCUGGCCCACAGACAGUCCGGGAAUCAGCGUGUUUUUACAUGAGUAGAAUGUGUCCUUUUAUUUAAAAUGCAUCUCUAGGUUAUUUGUGGGGCCUGCCUGGUGUUUUUACAUGAGCAGAAUGUGUGCUUUUAUUUAAAAUGUAUCUCUGGGUUAUUUGUGGGGCAUAGGAAUUUGUUCAUUUAUUCCCCCCAAAAUAUAGUCCGGCCCACCACAUGGUCUGAGGGAUGGUGGACCGGCCCAUGGCUGAAAUUCCUCUCAUUGACCCCCACUACUUCCACCAAGUCGGGGCCAGUGUUGAGAAGGCCCUGGUUCUAGUUGAGGCUAAUCUGGUUUCCUUUGGGCCUGGCACCUCUAAGGUGUUACUAUUUAUGGACCUUAAGGUCCUCCACGGGGCAUACCGGGAGAGACGGUCCCGUAAGUAUGAGGUUCCAUGUAAAAAAAGA